rnacentral:piRNA from 1 species
UGUAAUGCUGAGGGCCUAGCAAGUGUCC